CCCUAGGAAACGGCUUCAGCUUGCUUGGCAUUGCGUAAAGAAGAAUGGCUAAUUAAUAGCGCGAGAGAGAGAGAGAGAGAGAGAGAGAGUGAGUAGGAAGAGGAGAUGGUGACGGACACUCUGAUACAAGUCCUGUUUCUCUUGCUGAGUCUGGGGAUGUUCCUAGUGAUACACAACGUCCCCAGGAAAGCUCUAACAAAGCUGCGACUAAGGGGCCGAGAGAACGUCCAAGCGAAGCGCCACUUCGUCCAAGGGGCUCAGCUGCUGGCCCGUGCUCGAUCCUCCCGCAACAAAAAUACCUGCGUCUCCCUCGCCAAGGACGCCAUCGACCAGGCCGACAAGGCUCUCCUGCUAGACCCAAGAGACGCCGCCGCUCACAUCCUCAAAGCCCUAUCGCUGGACCUCCAGGGCCACAAGUCUUCCGCCCUUAGGUCCCUCGACGUCGCUCUCUCCCCGCCCGCCGUCAAGACCAUCUCCGAUCGUGAGCGGGGAGACGCCCUCUUCAAACGUGCGGAGUUGCAGAUAGCCGUCAACCGCCGCCGCCGCCGGGUUGACUCGGCUCUAUCGGACCUGUUGGAAUCCGUGAAGCUUAACCCUGGCAAUUCCAAGGCGUUCUGUCUCUUGGGGCAGUGCUACGAGAAGAAGGAGAUGAGACUUGAGGCCAAGCAGGCGUACGAGGAGGCCAUUAGGAUCCAGCCCAGUUCUUCCGCAGCCCGCGAGGGUUUGGACCGUUCAGCAUCGAAUUAUAACGGGGCAGACACCAAGCAGUAACCAGAGGUCAGAACCUCGAAAUUUAUAAAAAGAAAAGGUUUUGGACUUUGGACAAUUUCUGGGUUCCUUUCGAUUACACAUACUAUACAUCUAACCCUCCCGUUCGCCUUUCUCUAAAGCCUUUCCAGGCCUAAAUCUACCUGCGUAUGGUGUUCAUUCUUACACUCGCCGGUCUCCUGCCGGCGUUUAUGUUCAGUUUCUGGCUACUGACGGGUGGGGAAGCUGUGAGGGUCUGAUCGCUCUUAUUGUAUCUUUGAGGGGCUCAAUCUUGCCAUACCUCAGUUCUAUUUUGAUUUACUUGAACGAUAGAACUGAAAAUGGUUGCAAUUGGGGAUCGUGGCGGCAGUAGGAACAGGGUUUUCGAUGGUGGACCGGUCUCCUCCAAUUCUGAUUCAUAACACCUAAUAACCCUAGUAAUCGGCCAUUUAACCUGAAAACCCAGACCUUUGAAACCGUGAGUGGGAAUAAUCUUUCUUCUUUGAAUAUAUGUUGAUGGUCGCACAUGUCGGGCUCUCAAUCUUAAUCCAACUAUUGAAGGACUGGUUUUAAUAACUGGACUUGUAAUGAAGGAUUGGUUUUAAUACAAGACUAGAAAUCCUGUUUUCAUGGUA